rnacentral:lncRNA from 1 species
GCGCAUUCAUGAAGCGCGAGGGAAAUUCCUGCUAUACCAAAAGAGGACGGAGGUCCACCCAGAACAGACCCUUACUGUAAGCUGCCCAGAAGGAGAUACAUCAUCCACAAACAAUGGAGGAAUGGCAACUGAUUUCAGACCUGAGCCCUAGGACCAUGCCUCAGGACUGCCUGGCAUGAUGACUCCUUGCUGUCCACCUGGCCGUGCUGCUGCUGCACUUUCAACUGUUCUGCCUGCGGCUUUGGAACCCUGACCUGUUCACCGGACGUGCUACCUGUCCCAGACCUGCUGUUUUCAACUCUCUAGAGACAGCAGGAGCGGUAGAGAUACUCUGAAUGAUCGGCUAUGAAAAGCCAACUGACAUUUACUCCUGAGGUGCUGACCUGUUGCACCCUCGACAACUACUGUGAUUAUUAUUAUUUGACCAUGCUGGUCAUUUAUGAACAUUUGAACAUCUUGGCCAUCUUCUGUUAUAAUCUCCACCCGGCACAGCCAGCAGAGGACUGGCCACCCCUCAUUGCCUGGUUCCUCUCUAGGUUUCUUCCUAGGUUUUGGCCUUUCUAGGGAGUUUUUCCUAGCCACCGUGCUUCUACACCUGCAUUGCUUGCUGUUUGGGGUUUUAGGCUGGGUUUCUGUACAGCACUUUGAGAUAUCAGCUGAUGUAAGAAGGGCUAUAUAAAUAAAUUUGAUUUGAUUUGGUGGAAAAAGUACUCAUUUGUCAUACUUGAGUAAAAGUAAAGGUACCUUAAUAGAAAAUGACUCAAGUAAAAGUGAAAGUCACCCAGUAAAAUCUAUAUCUAUCUCAUCUAUAUAGCUAAUAAAGUAACCCAUAGCAUUGCAAACGUACAUAUUACAUCAUAAGACAUAGAGGAUCAUCAUGAUCCCAGUGGAACACCAUUUUUGAUGUUAAAGAGAUAAUUGGAUUCUGUCCAGAAAAAUUGUAAUGCACAGGGUCCAGAGACAAAUACAAUCAAUAAUUGAAGGGUUAAAUAGAGAAGUGAAACUCCAGGUUCCUCGAUGGUCUUUGAAACAAGGAAGCGCUAACUUUGACCAACAUGAUAAAGAGGUUCUCUAUACCAUGAUCACAGUGCUCUGCUGGAAGGAGAAGCAGUCAACACCACUGGCUGUCAUCUUUUAAUGAUUGCAAGUGACAAUAAUGACUGUUUUAUAGUUAAUAUAGUUAGCUUAAUUGAUUUUAACUUUUAUAACUUUUUUCUUGGCAGUCUAAUGUGCUAUGCAAUUCCUUUGUUUAGAAGAUGUCUUGUCCCAAAAAUAUUUAUGCUCAC